UACUGUAAACGGGCGGGAAAUUGAAAAUCUUUGAGAUUUCAAAACAUUUUCAUCACCGACUGAAUUAACGUGUAUUUAAAUAAAGAAGCAUAUUCUGCAAGAGCGGAGAUGGUGGACAGAAGUCUUGUUCAGGAAUUGAGACGUUGGGCGACAGAGGAGUUCAAUCUGCCCCCGGACAGCCUGCCAAAUGACGGCAACUUUAAAACGCUCUGCAUCGGGACAGGGAAGUCAAUAUGGAAAUAUGUCAUCCAACAUGUUUUUCAACAGAGGAAUGUCAGGAUCAUGCGUGGCAAUCUGCAGUGGUAU